UAGUAUCCGCUUGGCAACAAUUUUACUAAAAUAGGAAUGAUACAGAGAAGAUUAGCAUGGCCGCUGCGCAAGGAUGACGCGCAAAUUCGUGAAGCAUUCCCUAUUUAA